rnacentral:tRNA from 1 species
GUCAGGAUGUCCAGCCGUCUAAGGCGCUGCGUUCAGGUCGCAGUCUCCCCUGGAGGCGUGGGUUCGAAUCCCACUUCUGACA